rnacentral:rRNA from 1 species
UACGAAGGGGGCUAGCGUUGCUCUGAAUCACUGGGCGUAAAGCGCACGUAGGCGGCUUUCUAAGUCAGGGGUGAAAUCCUGGAGCUCAACUCCAGAACUGCCUUUGAUACUGCGAAUCUUGAGUCCGAUAGAGGUGGGUGGAAUUCCUAGUGUAGAGGUGAAAUUCGUAGAUAUUAGGAAGAACACCGGUGGCGAAGGCGGCCCACUGGAUCGGUACUGACGCUGAGGUGCGAAAGCGUGGGGAGCAAACAGG